UUUACAUAUACACUUUUUUAUACAGUUCAGGUGAAGAAUUUUGAAUGUCCCCGAUGUCUGUUCAGUGUGGUGAAGAGAGAGUGCAUGCAAAGCUACUGAAAACUUUUGAAUAAACGUUUGAAACGGUUUUAACCUUGUUAGACAUCAAUUCUAUAAUGCAUCUACAUGCGUUACAAGGCAUCAGCAAGAAUAUUUAUAUAUCUGCGGUAUAGAGUACAAAUCGAUCUUAUUCUUUAAGAAAAACAGUUAACUUCGAAAAGGCUUUUUGGAAUUUACUGUAGUAUGUAUGGUUCAUGAACAGAUGCAAAUACAUGAUGUUGUUUACCGGCAAACCAGCGCUUUUUUCCAUCCAACCUCAGAAUUUAAUAUUUAGACGAAAUCUUGUUCCUUCUAUUUCCCAAUACAGUCCAAAUACAGAUUCCCUUAUACUUUACACGCCAUGGUUAUUGCAUUAUAUACAUGUAUUUAUACUCCAACUUCACAGGCUUGCAAAUAUGUCCAUGAUCGAGCCACAAACGGUUGUUAAAAAUCUAAAUUCAUGUUUCCCAAACCUUACAUUUCUCCUUGGGAUUCAUAGCCGUUCCUCGGGCGCACGAGAA
rnacentral:lncRNA from 1 species